CCAACAGGGAUUGCCUCAGUAACGGCGAGUGAAGCGGCAACAGCUCAAAUUUGAAAUCUGGCCCUAGGCCCGAGUUGUAAUUUGCAGAGGAUGCUUCUGGCGCGGUGCCUUCCAAGUCCCCUGGAACGGGGCGCCAUAGAGGGUGAGAGCCCCGUCUGGUUGGCCGCCAAGCCUGUGUGAAGCUCCUUCGACGAGUCGAGUAGUUUGGGAAUGCUGCUCUAAAUGGGAGGUAGACCCCUUCUAAAGCUAAAUAUUGGCCAGAGACCGAUAGCGCACAAGUAGAGUGAUCGAAAGAUGAAAAGCACUUUGAAAAGAGGGUUAAACAGUACGUGAAAUUGUUGAAAGGGAAGCGCUUGUGACCAGACGUGCGUCGGGGUGUUCAGCGGGCGUUCUCGCCCGUGCACUCGCCCCGGCGCAGGCCAGCGUCGGUUCGGGCGGGGGGACAAAGGCGUCGGGAACGUAGCUCCUCCGGGAGUGUUAUAUCCCAGCGUGCCAUGCCCCCGCCUGGACCGAGGUUCGCGCUCCGCAAGGACGCUGGCGUAAUGGUCCCCAGCGGCCCGUCUUGAAACACGGACCAAGGAGUCGAGGUUUUGCGCGAGUGUUUGGGUGUCAAACCCGCACGCGUAAUGAAAGUGAACGCAGGUGGGAGCUUCGGCGCACCACCGACCGAUCCUGAUGUUCUCGGAUGGAUUUGAGUAAGAGCGUAGGGCCUCGGACCCGAAAGAUGGUGAACUAUACGUGAAUAGGGUGAAGCCAGAGGAAACUCUGGUGGAGGCUCGCAGCGGUUCUGACGUGCAAAUCGAUCGUCAAAUUUGCGUAUGGGGGCGAAAGACUAAUCGAACCAU
rnacentral:rRNA from 1 species